CCAGACUCCUACGGGAGGCAGCAGUGGGGAAUAUUGCACAAUGGGGGGAACCCUGAUGCAGCGACGCCGCGUGGGUGAAGGAGCACCUCGGUGCGUAAAGCCCUAUCGGCAGGGAAGAAAAGCGAACAGGUUCGCCUGGACGGUACCUGACUAAGAAGCCCCGGCUAACUACGUGCCAGCAGCCGCGGUAAUACGUAGGGGGCAAGCGUUAUCCGGAUUCACUGGGUGUAAAGGGAGCGUAGACGGCUUGGCAAGCCAGAUGUGAAAGGCUGGGGCUCAACCCCAGGACUGCAUUUGGAACUGUCAUGCUAGAGUGUCGGAGAGGCAGGCGGAAUUCCUAGUGUAGCGGUGAAAUGCGUAGAUAUUAGGAGGAACACCAGUGGCGAAGGCGGCCUGCUGGACGAUGACUGACGUUGAGGCUCGAAAGCGUGGGUAGCAAACAGGAUUAGAUACCCCGGUAAUU
rnacentral:rRNA from 1 species